rnacentral:rRNA from 1 species
AAAAACAUCGCCUCCCGCAAAAUCUCAAUGUAUAGGAGGUCUUGCCUGCCCAGUGAACUAGUUUAAACGGCCGCGGUAUCUUGACCGUGCAAAGGUAGCGCAAUCACUUGUCUUUUAAAUGAAGACCUGUAUGAAUGGUGGAACGAGGGCUUAACUGUCUCCCCCCUUAGGUCAGUGAAAUUGAUCUACCCGUGCAGAAGCGGGUAUAAAAAUACAAGACGAGAAGACCCUUUGGAGCUUAAGACACCAAGACCACUUAUGUCAAAAAUCCGCUACAAAGCAGAUUAAACCUAAUAAUAUCUGGUCCCAGUCUUCGGUUGGGGCGACCGCGGGGGAAAAUAAAGCCCCCAUGUGGAAUGGGAAAAUACCCUAAAACCAAGAGAGACAUCUCUAAGACACAGAACAUCUGACCAUUAUAGAUCCGGCUAUACAGCCGAUCAACGGACCAAGUUACCCUAGGGAUAACAGCGCAAUCCCCUCCCAGAGUCCCUAUCGACAAGGGGGUUUACGACCUCGAUGUUGGAUCAGGACAUCCUAAUGGUGCAGCCGCUAUUAAGGGUUCGUUUGUUCAACGAUUAAAGUCCUACGUGAUCUGAG